CGUGGUAGGCAGUUCACCUAAGAGAGCAAACUCUAAACAAACCCGGGCAGGUGGAGGUCGUUAGCCGUGGUAGGCAGUUCACCUAGGAGAGCAAACUCUAAACAAACCCGGGCAGGUGGAGGUCGUUAGCCGUGGUAGGCAGUUCACCUAGGAGAGCAAACUCCGAACAACAAACCCGGGCAGGUGGAGGUCGUUAGCCGUGGUAGGCAGUUCACCUAGGAGAGCAAACUCCGAACAACAAACCCGGGCAGGUGGAGCUCGUUAGCCGUGGUAGGCAGUUCACCUAGGAGAGCAAACUCCGAACAACAAACCCGGGCAGGUGGAGGUCGUUAGCCGUGGUAGGCAGUUCACCUAGGAGAGCAAACUCUAAACAAACCCGGGCAGGUGGAGGUCGUUAGCCGUGGUAGGCAGUUCACCUAGGAGAGC